AUUGAACGCUGGCGGCAGGCUUAACACAUGCAAGUCGAACGGAACCUUCGGGUUUAGUGGCGAACGGGUGAGUAAUACCUAGGAAUCUGCCUAUUAGUGGGGGAUAACGGCUCGAAAGGGUCGCUAAUACCGGCAUACGUCCUACGGGAGAAAGCGGGGGAUUCUUCGGAACCUCGCGCAAUUGGAGCGGCCGAUGUCAGAUUAGCUUGUUGGUGAGGUAAAGGCUCACCAAGGCGACGAUCUGUAGCGGGUCUGAGAGGAUGAUCCGCCACACUGGGACUGAGACACGGCCCAGACUCCUACGGGAGGCAGCAGUGGGGAAUUUUGGACAAUGGGGGCAACCCUGAUCCAGCCAUGCCGCGUGAGUGAAGAAGGCCU
rnacentral:rRNA from 1 species